rnacentral:rRNA from 1 species
CGGAAUGCGGGUGCUAUACAUGCAAGUCGAGCGCAGGAACCAGAUGACCCCUUCGGGGUGAUUCUGGUGGAAUGAGCGGCGGACGGGUGAGUAACACGUGGGCAACCUGCCUGUAAGACUGGGAUAACUUCGGGAAACCGGAGCUAAUACCGGAUAGUAUUUCCUUUCUCCUGAUUGGAAAUGGAAAGACGGUUUCGGCUGUCACUUACAGAUGGGCCCGCGGUGCAUUAGCUAGUUGGUGGGGUAAUGGCCCACCAAGGCGACGAUGCAUAGCCGACCUGAGAGGGUGAUCGGCCACACUGGGACUGAGACACGGCCCAGACUCCUACGGGAGGCAGCAGUAGGGAAUCUUCCGCAAUGGACGAAAGUCUGACGGAGCAACGCCGCGUGAGCGAUGAAGGCCUUCGGGUCGUAAAGCUCUGUUGUUAGGGAAGAACAAGUACGAGAGUAACUGCUCGUACCUUGACGGUACCUAACCAGAAAGCCCCGGCUAACUACGUGCCAGCAGCCGCGGUAAUACGUAGGGGGCAAGCGUUGUCCGGAAUUAUUG